rnacentral:rRNA from 1 species
AGGGAAAAGCUCAAAUUUAAAAUCUGACAGUCUCUGGCUGUCCGAGUUGUAAAUUAGAGAAGUGCUAUCCGCGCUGGACUGUGCAUAAGUUCCUUGGAAAAGGGCAUCAUAGAGGGUGACAAUCCCGUCUUUGGCACAGACUCCCAGGGCUUUUGUGAUGCGCUCUCGAU